CAGCAGCCGCGGUAAAACGUAGGUGGCAAGCGUUGUCCGGAAUUAUUGGGCGUAAGGCGCGCGCAGGCGGUUUCUUAAGUCUGGUGUCUAAGUGCGGGGCUCAACCCCGUGACGCACUGGAAACUGGGAGACUUGAGUGCAGAAGAGGAGAGCGGAAUUCCACGUGUAGCGGUGAAAUGCGUAGAGAUGUGGAGGAACACCAGUGGCGAAGGCGGCUCUCUGGACUGUAACUGACGCUGAGGCGCGAAAGCGUGGGGAGCAAACAGGAUUAGAGACCCCCGUAGUCCCUGUCUCUUAUACA
rnacentral:rRNA from 1 species